rnacentral:rRNA from 1 species
AUCAAAACUCUUGCGUAACUUUGCAGUCUGAGUAAAUUUAAUUAAUAAAUUAAAACUUUCAACAACGGAUCUCUUGGUUCUGGCAUCGAUGAAGAACGCAGCGAAAUGCGAUAAGUAAUGUGAAUUGCAGAAUUCAGUGAAUCAUCGAAUCUUUGAACG